rnacentral:tRNA from 1 species
CAUUAGAUGGCUGAAAGUAAGCCCUGGUCUCUUAAACCAUUUAAUAGUACUUAACGAAUACUUCUAAUGA